rnacentral:rRNA from 1 species
GACGAACGCUGGCGGCGUGCUUAACACAUGCAAGUCGAGCGGUAAGGCCCUUUCGGGGGUACACGAGCGGCGAACGGGUGAGUAACACGUGGGUGACCUGCCCUCAGCUCUGGGAUAAGCCUGGGAAACCGGGUCUAAUACUGGAUAUGACUCCAUGACGCAUGUUGUGGGGUGGAAAGCCUUGUGCGGCUGAGGAUGGGCCCGCGGCCUAUCAGCUUGUUGGUGGGGUGANGGCCUACCAAGGCGACGACGGGUAGCCGGCCUGAGAGGGCGACCGGCCACACUGGGACUGAGACACGGCCCAGACUCCUACGGGAGGCAGCAGUGGGGAAUAUUGGACAAUGGGCGCAAGCCUGAUCCAGCCAUGCCGCGUGAGUGACGAAGGUCUUCGGAUUGUAAAACUCUUUUGGCGGGGACGAUAAUGACGGUACCCGCAGAAUAAGCCCGGCUAACUUCGUGCCAGCAGCCGCAGUAAC